AGAGUUUGAUCCUGGCUCAGAGUGAACGCUGGCGGCGUGCUUAACACAUGCAAGUCGAACGGUAACAGGUCUUCGGAUGCUGACGAGUGGCGGACGGGUGAGUAAUGUAUAGGUAUGUGCCCCAUAGACUAGGAUAGCCACUGGAAACGGUGAUUAAUACUGGAUACUCCUUACGAGGGAAAGAUUUAUCGCUAUGGGAUCGGCCUAUAUUGCAUCAGCUAGUUGGUGAGGUAAAGGCUCACCAAGGCAAUGACACAUAACUGGUCUGAGAGGAUGAUCAGUCACACUGGAACUGAGACACGGUCCAGACUCCUACGGGAGGCAGCAGUGGGGAAUAUUACACAAUGGAGGAAACUCUGAUGUAGCAACGCCGCGUGGAGGAUGACACAUUUCGGUGCGUAAACUCCUUUUAUUAGGGAAGAUAAUGACGGUACCUAAUGAAUAAGCACCGGCUAACUCCGUGCCAGCAGCCGCGGUAAUACGGAGGGUGCAAGCGUUACUCGGAAUCACUGGGCGUAAAGCGCGCGCAGGCGGGUUUGUAAGUUGGAAGUGAAAUCCACUGGCUUAACCAGUGAACUGCUUCCAAAACUACUUACCUAGAGUCUGGGAGGGGAAGAUGGAAUUAGUUGUGUAGGGGUAAAAUCCGUAGAGAUAACUAGGAAUAUCAAAAGCGAAGGCGAUCUUCUGGAACAGUACUGACGCUGAGGCGCGAAAGCGUGGGGAGCAAACAGGAUUAGAUACCCUGGUAGUCCACGCCCUAAACGAUGAAUGUUAGUCGUCGGUAUGCUCGUCAUAUCGGUGAUGCACUUAACAGAUUAAACAUUCCGCCUGGGGAGUACGGUCGCAAGAUUAAAACUCAAAGGAAUAGACGGGGACCCGCACAAGUGGUGGAGCAUGUGGUUUAAUUCGAAGAUACGCGAAGAACCUUACCUAGCCUUGACAUUGAUAGAAUCCGCUAGAGAUAGUGGAGUGCCAGUUUACUGGAGCUUGAAAACAGGUGCUGCACGGCUGUCGUCAGCUCGUGUCGUGAGAUGUUGGGUUAAGUCCCGCAACGAGCGCAACCCUCGUGACUAGUUACUAACGGUUCGGCCGAGGACUCUAGUCAGACUGCCUUCGUAAGGAGGAGGAAGGUGAGGACGACGUCAAGUCAUCAUGGCCCUUACGGCUAGGGCGACACACGUGCUACAAUGGGCAGGACAAUGAGACGCAAUACCGCGAGGUGGAGCAAAUCUAUAAACCUGCUCUCAGUUCGGAUUGUAGUCUGCAACUCGACUACAUGAAGCUGGAAUCACUAGUAAUCGUAGAUCAGCCAUGNUACGGUGAAUACGUUCCCGGGUCUUGUACUCACCGCCCGUCACACCAUGGGAGUUGAUUUCACCCGAAGCGGGGAAGCUAAACUGGCUACCCUCCACGGUGGAAUCAGCGACUGGGGUGAAGUCGUAACAAGGUAACC
rnacentral:rRNA from 1 species